rnacentral:lncRNA from 1 species
CUAACACACAUCACACACGAAAACACAUCACACAAGCACACAUCACGCACGCUAACACACAUCACACACUAACACACAUCACACACUAACACACAUCACACGUGCUAAAACACAUCACACAAGCACACAUCACACACACUAACACAUCACACACACGAAAACACAUCACACAAGCACACAUCACACACACUAACACAUCACACACACUAACACAUCACACAAGCACACAUCACACACGCUAACACAUCACACACUAACACACACAUCACACGUGCUAAAACACAUCACACAAG